UGAGGGAGAACUCCUGAAAUGGAAGCUGAUUUGGAGAAUAUGUCUGACAAAAGCAAUGGUGCUGCAGCUUGGGAGUGCAGGCAAGCCCAGGAGAAGAUAUUUUCCUGAAGUGAGGAGUGAAGCCUUCAAUUCCAGUGCCAGAGGAGUGAGUUGUGAGAUCCAAAGUGCAGAUUUGCUGUUGCUCCUCUCCAACACAGAGGAAACUGUUUGAAGACAUGACCAGCAGCAAAGGACAUUUCUUGAGGAAAAUCCUCUACUGGAAACAAGACACAGACUUCUCCUGGGGAUUUACCUGGAGUGAGAUCAAAAGAAAACUGCCUUUCUCCCCUUCCUGCAUAAAGGUGCAAAUUUUGUUUUGACUAGUGAUGUUGAAAAGAAAUAAAUAAAUUUCUG
rnacentral:lncRNA from 1 species